CCAGUCUGAGAGCACCAAUCAGGACUCUGCCACACAUCACAUGGUCAACCUGAAUGAAACUCAUGAUCACAUCUACAAUUCUCUUCUCCAUGGUGAUACUUGUCUCUAUGAAUCAAUCAAAGGCUCUGAAGACCCAAAUUGAACAUCAGCUCCUGCAGCAACUGAUGAACCUGUUUAUUCUGAAGUUAAACCAGGAACAGCUCAUGGUAAUAAUUCUGUCAUGUUAUGUUCAGACUGUAAUAAUUAAUCAUACUGAUAAUAAGAUGAAUAAUCUCAUAUUGUGAUUUCCAAAGCAUUAAAUUCUGAAUAACCCAACACAGCUGUGUGAACAAGGCCAAAUAAAUAUGGUUAACAGCAUUUUAUAACCUUUGUGUGCAUCUCUGCUAUCCAAAUAUCAGCCA